rnacentral:rRNA from 1 species
UACGGGGGGGGCAAGCGUUGUUCGGAAUUACUGGGCGUAAAGGGCUCGUAGGUGGCCAACUAAGUCAUACGUGAAAUCCCCCGGCUUAACCUGGGAACUGCGUCUGAUACUGGGAGGCUAGAGUGCGGGAGAGGGAUGCGGAAUUCCAGGUGUAGCGGUGAAAUGCGUAGAUAUCAGGAGGAACACCGGUGGCGAAGGCGGGACUCUGGGCCGAUACUGACGCUGAGGAGCGAAAGCGUGGGGAGCGAACAGG